UAGAAUGGUUAUUCGGUGGUGUAG
rnacentral:siRNA from 1 species